UUACCUCACAGACAUGUUUACGACUUUUGUAGCUAUACUAAUGCAGUUACGCUAAACCUAUGCCUGCAAUCAUUCAUUCAAAUAUCUACAAAAUGGAAUUGAGAUUACAAGUUCUGAAAUGAGUGAGGCGAAUCUAAAUCGGAAUCUGCAGUGAUUAUUAGCGAUCAACUCAUUUCUGCAGUUAGGCCUUAGAAUAGUACUAAAUAAUUCUUGGUGUGUAAUUGUUGAACCAAAGACGACGGUAAACAAAUAAAGGCGAUGGAGAACAAGAAAAUAUUCGAGUCAGAACAAAUAGUGUUUAUGCAAACCGACUGGAUGUAAACAAACUGCGAAUGUUGACAUCAAAAAACUGCUGGAGCGGAACAAAAACUACGGUUAAAUAAAUAAAUAUUCAUUAAAUUAGGAGUUUCAGUUAGGCCAUAAUAUAACACUAGACUGAUAUUGAAAAAGAGAGUAUUUGUGCUGAAUCAAAGACCCCGGGGAAGAUAUGGCUGCGCAAAGAAGUUUGUACCAUUCCAUCGUUUCUGAAAUAAGAACCCGACAAGAUGCGGUCGUGCAGAGAUGUUCCGGAUAUAGUACAGGCCUACAAUUGAUUGGGCGUUGAAUUCCAUCACAAAUUCUGGAAUUGUUGGCAACGGCAUCUGCUGGAGGAAAUGCUGGUAGAUGAAGAUUUAUUCAGUUAAGUAUGA